AAAGUCGUAACAAGGUCUCCGUAGGUGAACCUGCGGAGGGAUCAUUACCGAGUUAGGGUCCUCUGGGCCCGACCUCCCAACCCUGUGUGUACUGGACCAACUGUUGCUUCGGCGGGCCCGUCCCCUCUGACGAAGGGGACCGCCGGGGAGACCGUCAGACGUCUUCCUGGCCCGCGCCCGUCGGUGGCCAACCUUAACAAAUUCUUGUACUAAACGUGUCAUUUGUCUGAGUACCUGAUUGUAAAAUCAUAAGUAAAACUUUCAACAACGGAUCUCUUGGUUCUG
rnacentral:misc_RNA from 1 species